GCUGAAGAACGUAGCGAAAUGCGAUAAGUAAUGUGAAUUGCAGAAUUCAGUGAAUCAUCGAAUCUUUGAACGCACAUUGCGCCCUCUGGUAUUCCGGGGGGCAUGCCUGUUCGAGCGUCAUUACAACCCUCAAGCUUUGCUUGGUAUUGGACAUUGCCAGUUUCUGGCAGGUCUUAAAAUCAGUGGCGGUGCCAUUUGGCUUCAAGCGUAGUAAUUCUUCUCGCUUUGGAGAUCCAGGUGGUUACUUGCCAAUAACCCCCAAUUUUUUCAGGUUGACCUCGGAUCAGGUAGGGAUACCCGCUGAACUUAAGCAUAUCAAUAAGCGGAGGA
rnacentral:misc_RNA from 1 species